ACCGUAUGGUAGCCCAGGAAUGAGAAUAACCCCCAUGAUGGGAUACCAUUUGCAAACAUAGACAACACAAGGUAUUGCAAGUGAGGUGUGAAGAAUCCCCUCCAUUCAUUCGGUACUUUCCCUCCCUGCUACUUUAUUCAUGGAUUUAUUACUGUGACGAAGCGCCCUUCGCCACUUGUGCCUGGAGAGGACUGCUUGCCCGCCUCUUGCCCUGUGAUUAUGGACCCUUGGCCUGUUCAAUUCAGUAUGAUAGGAGUUAUGUAUUUUUGUAUUUUACUGGGAACAUGUGCUCAAUGGAGUCUGCCUCUAUCCCUGGAUAAUUGGAUUAUUUUCCCCAUUGUCUCCAGGAUAGAGGGCUCUGUAAAACCAGUUUGGGCCAGAUAGCCAUGCCCCAAAAGAUACUUUACUAACUUCUGAACCCCUGGUCUGAUUCAUGCCAUUUUGUGAUAUGUUGUUUCCCUGAAUGGAUUGAUUGUGAUUAUAUAAUUUUUAUGUGAAUGUGAUGUAUAUUUUAGAAGUUAUGAAUAUGCUGUAAAAACUUUUUCCUACCUGU
rnacentral:lncRNA from 1 species